rnacentral:rRNA from 1 species
UUAAGCGACUAAGCGUACACGGUGGAUGCCCUGGCAGUCAGAGGCGAUGAAGGACGUGCUAAUCUGCGAAAAGCGUCGGUAAGGUGAUAUGAACCGUUAUAACCGGCGAUGUCCGAAUGGGGAAACCCAGUGUGAUUCGUCACACUAUCGUUAACUGAAUACAUAGGUUAACGAGGCGAACCGGGGGAACUGAAACAUCUAAGUACCCCGAGGAAAAGAAAUCAACCGAGAUUCCCCCAGUAGCGGCGAGCGAACGGGGAGCAGCCCAGAGUCUGAAUCAGCUUGUGUGUUAGUGGAACGGUCUGGAAAGUCCGACGGUACAGGGUGAUAGUCCCGUACACCAAAAUGCACAGGUUGUGAACUCGAAGAGUAGGGCGGGACACGUGGUAUCCUGUCUGAAUAUGGGGGGACCAUCCUCCAAGGCUAAAUACUCCUGACUGACCGAUAGUGAACCAGUACCGUGAGGGAAAGGCGAAAAGAACCCCGGCGAGGGGAGUGAAAAAGAACCUGAAACCGUGUACGUACAAGCAGUGGGAGCACCUUCGGGUGUGACUGCGUACCUUUUGUAUAAUGGGUCAGCGACUUAUAUUCUGUAGCAAGGUUAACCGUAUAGGGGAGCCGCAGGGAAACCGAGUCUUAACUGGGCGUUAAGUUGCAGGGUAUAGACCCGAAACCCGGUGAUCUAGCCAUGGGCAGGUUGAAGGUUGGGUAACACUAACUGGAGGACCGAACCGACUAAUGUUGAAAAAUUAGCGGAUGACUUGUGGCUGGGGGUGAAAGGCCAAUCAAACCGGGAGAUAGCUGGUUCUCCCCGAAAGCUAUUUAGGUAGCGCCUCGUGAAUUCAUCUUCGGGGGUAGAGCACUGUUUCGGCUAGGGGGUCAUCCCGACUUACCAACCCGAUGCAAACUACGAAUACCGAAGAAUGUUAUCACGGGAGACACACGGCGGGUGCUAACGUCCGUCGUGAAGAGGGAAACAACCCAGACCGCCAGCUAAGGUCCCAAAGUCAUGGUUAAGUGGGAAACGAUGUGGGAAGGCACAGACAGCCAGGAUGUUGGCUUAGAAGCAGCCAUCAUUUAAAGAAAGCGUAAUAGCUCACUGGUCGAGUCGGCCUGCGCGGAAGAUGUAACGGGGCUAAACCAUGCACCGAAGCUGCGGCAGCGACACGAUGUGUUGUUGGGUAGGGGAGCGUUCUGUAAGCCUGCGAAGGUGUGCUGUGAGGCAUGCUGGAGGUAUCAGAAGUGCGAAUGCUGACAUAAGUAACGAUAAAGCGGGUGAAAAGCCCGCUCGCCGGAAGACCAAGGGUUCCUGUCCAACGUUAAUCGGGGCAGGGUGAGUCGACCCCUAAGGCGAGGCCGAAAGGCGUAGUCGAUGGGAAACAGGUUAAUAUUCCUGUACUUGGUGUUACUGCGAAGGGGGGACGGAGAAGGCUAUGUUAGCCGGGCGACGGUUGUCCCGGUUUAAGCAUGUAGGCUGGUUAUCCAGGCAAAUCCGGAUAAUCAAGGCUGAGGUGUGAUGACGAGGCACUACGGUGCUGAAGUAACAAAUGCCCUGCUUCCAGGAAAAGCCUCUAAGCAUCAGGUAACAUUAAAUCGUACCCCAAACCGACACAGGUGGUCAGGUAGAGAAUACCAAGGCGCUUGAGAGAACUCGGGUGAAGGAACUAGGCAAAAUGGUGCCGUAACUUCGGGAGAAGGCACGCUGGUGUGUAGGUGAAGCCCCUGCGGGUGGAGCUGAGACCAGUCGAAGAUACCAGCUGGCUGCAACUGUUUAUUAAAAACACAGCACUGUGCAAACACGAAAGUGGACGUAUACGGUGUGACGCCUGCCCGGUGCCGGAAGGUUAAUUGAUGGGGUUAUCCGUAAGGAGAAGCUCUUGAUCGAAGCCCCGGUAAACGGCGGCCGUAACUAUAACGGUCCUAAGGUAGCGAAAUUCCUUGUCGGGUAAGUUCCGACCUGCACGAAUGGCGUAAUGAUGGCCAGGCUGUCUCCACCCGAGACUCAGUGAAAUUGAACUCGCUGUGAAGAUGCAGUGUACCCGCGGCAAGACGGAAAGACCCCGUGAACCUUUACUAUAGCUUGACACUGAACAUUGAGCCUUGAUGUGUAGGAUAGGUGGGAGGCUUUGAAGCGUGGACGCCAGUCUGCGUGGAGCCAACCUUGAAAUACCACCCUUUAAUGUUUGAUGUUCUAACGUUGGCCCCUUACCGGGGUUGCGGACAGUGUCUGGUGGGUAGUUUGACUGGGGCGGUCUCCUCCCAAAGCGUAACGGAGGAGCACGAAGGUUAGCUAAUCCUGGUCGGACAUCAGGAGGUUAGUGCAAUGGCAUAAGCUAGCUUGACUGCGAGCGUGACGGCGCGAGCAGGUGCGAAAGCAGGUCAUAGUGAUCCGGUGGUUCUGAAUGGAAGGGCCAUCGCUCAACGGAUAAAAGGUACUCCGGGGAUAACAGGCUGAUACCGCCCAAGAGUUCAUAUCGACGGCGGUGUUUGGCACCUCGAUGUCGGCUCAUCACAUCCUGGGGCUGAAGUAGGUCCCAAGGGUAUGGCUGUUCGCCAUUUAAAGUGGUACGCGAGCUGGGUUUAGAACGUCGUGAGACAGUUCGGUCCCUAUCUGCCGUGGGCGCUGGAGAAUUGAGGGGGGCUGCUCCUAGUACGAGAGGACCGGAGUGGACGCAUCACUGGUGUUCGGGUUGUCAUGCCAAUGGCACUGCCCGGUAGCUAAAUGCGGAAGAGAUAAGUGCUGAAAGCAUCUAAGCACGAAACUUGCCCCGAGAUGAGUUCUCCCUGAGACUUUAAGUCUCCUGAAGGAACGUUAAAGACGAUGACGUUGAUAGGCCGGGUGUGUAAGCGCAGCGAUGCGUUGAGCUAACCGGUACUAAUGAACCGUGAGGCUUAACCUU